rnacentral:misc_RNA from 1 species
AACCAUUCUCACCUGCGGCUAGACCUGCGGAAGGAUCAUUACCGAGUGUGAACCCCCCCGUAAAAAAGAGGGGUUACCUCCCGUCCUUUGCUGGGAACCCCUUUCCAACUUGGAAGGAGGUUGUUUUCAGACCCUUCUGCUUCGGUGGGGUAACCCACCGGAACAACCUCAAAAAUAUUCUCAAUUCAAAACCGUUCAGUCCGAGAACUUUUUUGAAAAGCGAAAAAACUUUCAACAACG